rnacentral:tRNA from 1 species
GCCGGGGUGGCAGAGCGGACAAAUGCGGCAGGCUCGAGACCUGUUGCUCCUUUGGAGCACUUGGGUUCAAAUCCCAACCCCGGCG